GUCUCAUGGAACUAUUUUUUCCGGAUUCUUGGGAAGUUGAAAUAUUUCAGAAGAAUAUCAGGAACUGUUGUUUUAGCUUGUUUGGGUUGUAUCCAAUAAAAUCAUCUUGUCAAUGCAUGACUUCUGCCAGCACAAUGGAACCUCCCCUCCUGUUCCAGAGGGUUGGAGAACAGUUCACACAGAGGAGGCAGUUGGCAGAGUCCAUGGGCUAUACCACUGCAGACUGCAGGUUCCACUUGUCGACCGAGACCCAGUGUGGCAUAGUGGUUAAAGUGUUGGACUACGACGGUUUGAA